AAGCUAUUUAGGUAGCGCCUCGUGAAUUCAUCUCCGGGGGUAGAGCACUGUUUCGGCUAGGGGGCCAUCCCGGCUUACCAACCCGAUGCAAACUGCGAAUACCGGAGAAUGUUAUCACGGGAGACACACGGCGGGUGCUAACGUCCGUCGUGAAGAGGGAAACAACCCAGACCGCCAGCUAAGGUCCCAAAGUCAUGGUUAAGUGGGAAACGAUGUGGGAAGGCCCAGACAGCCAGGAUGUUGGCUUAGAAGCAGCCAUCAUUUAAAGAAAGCGUAAUAGCUCACUGGUCGAGUCGGCCUGCGCGGAAGAUGUAACGGGGCUAAACCAUGCACCGAAGCUGCGGCAGCGACGCUGAUGCGUUGUUGGGUAGGGGAGCGUUCUGUAAGCCUGUGAAGGUGGCCUGUGAGGGUUGCUGGAGGUAUCAGAAGUGCGAAUGCUGACAUAAGUAACGAUAAAGCGGGUGAAAAGCCCGCUCGCCGGAAGACCAAGGGUUCCUGUCCAACGUUAAUCGGGGCAGGGUGAGUCGACCCCUAAGGCGAGGCCGAAAGGCGUAGUCGAUGGGAAACGGGUUAAUAUUCCCGUACUUGGUGUUACUGCGAAGGGGGGACGGAGAAGGCUAUGUUGGCCGGGCGACGGUUGUCCCGGUUUAAGCGUGUAGGUGUGUGUUCCAGGUAAAUCCGGUUCACUUUAACACUGAGGCGUGAUGACGAGGCACUACGGUGCUGAAGCAACAAAUGCCCUGCUUCCAGGAAAAGCCUCUAAGCAUCAGGUAACAUCAAAUCGUACCCCAAACCGACACAGGUGGUCAGGUAGAGAAUACCAAGGCGCUUGAGAGAACUCGGGUGAAGGAACUAGGCAAAAUGGUGCCGUAACUUCGGGAGAAGGCACGCUGACAC
rnacentral:rRNA from 1 species